rnacentral:misc_RNA from 1 species
GUCGCAAGAUACACUUUUCCCAGUGGAUGAGGCUUUUAAGUCAUACAGCUUCAAUUCUAUCCCAAGACUGCUUUUUGAAGGACAUCUCAUACAGCCAGCACAAUUCACCCAUAAGAUGUCACUUCCAGUAUCUACCUGGACAUGAUAGUCCUUAGAAGGAGUCCCGAUUGUAAGUUUAGUGUAAUAGAGCGCUGCAUCAGUAGGUUGGCCAUUGCCACCCAAUUCAAAGUCAACGGCAGCAAGCAUUCUUCCAUGGCGGCGACUAUCAUGAGCUCUGAGUUCCUUCAAGAUUGAACCUCCACGCCCACCAUACUUAUGUUUCACAUUAAAAACAACAUUUUCUCCCUUUACUGCCACAGCCAAAACCAAAAUUAACAAAAAUAUCAAAUACCCUUUUCUCCUCAGAUCCAUUAUCACAACAUACAAAUACAAAACACCCACUUCCCAAAAUCCAAUCUUUAUAAACACCCACAAGAGAAAAAUGGGAUGUAUGAAUGAAUGAAGCAAGAAAAGAACUUUUUUUCCCUUUGUACACAACAAUGAUGAAAUAUUAUAUUUUUCUUGAUUUG